UCCACAUCAUAUCAUCAUCUUUUAUUCCUCUUUUUAAACUGCCAAAUAAAACAAUUGUAUUUCUUUCUACCUCCCUGGUGAUCGUCUCAAUCUCCACGUGAGAGAAGUUUCUCUUUUUUGCCGUCUUCCGUGUAUCCAUGGCGUAAAAUGGGGGCGUGGGGGAAGCGGAGACUUGAAUAUAUAGGGGCGUGUUAUUCUAAUGACGAUCGUUUUCAGCCGCGGCAUUUAUCAAGGGCAGGUAUUGCGUACACCUGGAUUUUAAAGGUACGCACAGCUUCAUAAAUCAGGCGGUGAGAGGAGUGUAAGCAAAAUCCUACGCCAACAUAUACGCCCGUUUCUACGCAAGAAUGAUAAAUGAGGGCCAAUGACAUUAACUUCUAACGGAAAAGGUAGGGCCUAUCUAGCAGAGGACGGAAACUCCUGAUUGGACAGAAGGACUGCCUGUCUUUUAACAGGAAGGAGAGGUGAAAAACACGGAAAAGCGCACGGAAGAAACUUUCGCUAUUAUAAAUAAUUAUUUUGAUGCAGGGCAUACAUACGACGUGGUAGUCAACCAUAUGUUGUCAACCAAUCACAACAUCAGGAUGAGUAUACGCACUUUGAAGUCAUGUUUGAGAGAAGCAGGGUUGUACAGAAGGAAAAACUAUUCACAACUGGAUGAGGUAAGACGUCCCAUCCUUACAGAGAUGCGUGGACCAGGGCAACUAUUCGGCUAUCGGACUAUGUGGCAAGUACAGCAAAAACACAAGCUACGUAUUAAACGACACACAGUGAUGAGACUGCUGAAGCAACUAAAUCCACGAGGAACGGAUGCGAGAACACGCCGGAGGUUUGUGAGGCAAAAAGCGACAGCUGUGUCCCUAGAGGAUGGCCUGGUGUUUGCUACAGGGCUCGCAUCACUUCCACCUGCUGGAAUAACACCACUACCAUGCAUCGAGUUCUUACCAAAUUCGCCAUUCCCUAUGACAAACACCUGUGCAAAUGCGCUAAAGCUCCCUUUCCUUGAGGCCUACAGUGUCUUUAAGACAAACAUGGAGUUUGGCUUACAGAAUUCUCCAGGCUUUUGGUGCAUUUAAUGCUGUGCCAAGUCUGGAUUUUGCCCAGUCUUAAACCUGCAGUUUAUAAAGCAUAAAAGGGUGCAUGCUCAGUUCAAAGUAUUUUAAUGUGUAUUAUUUCUGUUCAUUACUUUGUUCAAUGAAAAAUCACAGAACAAAUGUUAAGUACAGGUCACAUUACAAGUAACAGUAAAAUUGUACUCAGCUAAAAUGUAUGUAGUCUCGCAUUUGAAACAGUGUAUAACAUGUUGUGCUUGCAAACAAGCUUGUAAACAAUACCUUUUGAAAAGAACCACGUUUCUUUGGUUGUUCAGACCUACAAUUGACACACAGUUAACUCGAUGGUGAAUCAGAAAAUAAACAAUUAUAGUUUGGGAGUUACAUUUGAGACAUGUAUGUCUCCACUCUGGUAUGACACUGCAUAUACUGAACUCCACUUACCAAACAUGAUACUCAAUAAACAGCUAAGCCACAUUUGAGAAUGUUUUCCUUUAACAUCUGGCCUUUAAGAGUGGGCUGCAGUAGACCAUAUUUAUAUGCCAGCUAUUUCUUUCAAGGUGACAUAUAGUUCUGAGGCUGACUCCCAAUCGUGUGGCUGCUGUAAUCCAUUUUGCUCAACAGUCUGUUGAAGAUAAUCCUGGAUGUCUGGAUCACUGCAUGAAUGAAGAGUUUGCCUUGACUCUGGAAACUUAUCCAGUUCCCUGUCUUCAAUUGCCAAUACACAGUCCCUUGAACCAAACCUGCGUAGUGACACAAUAAUUCAUCAUAAAGGGAAAACAUGACUCCAAAUCCAAAUGUAUUUCCAAUAAUAUGUGGGGUGCAAUUUAUGCUUUAAUACACAUUAUAUAUUUUUGUAAGAAUGGAUAUAGUCAAUUCAUUGUCAGUUGAUAUGAGAGUUACCUAUGAGGUAAUAGAUAGAGUUCGUCUGGAAUUCCCCCAGGACAUGAUGCAAGUCUGGAGAGUCUAAUCCUGUGCUUAUUCCAGAGGUCUGUGCUCUCAUCCAGGUCUUUUUGCAGAACAUUACUGAAGCAGAAUCUCAAUAAGUCCUGAUGUUCAUGGCUGGCAUUAAAGUGUCCAGAGUCUCUCAUGUCUCCAAACAGGUCCAUCCAAAAUUGAG
ensembl:lncRNA